rfam:Brachypodium distachyon strain Bd21 chromosome 3, whole genome shotgun sequence.
UUUAUACUCCCUCUUCCAACAAAAAAUGUCUCAACUUUGACUAAAUUUGAAUGUAUCUAUACACUAAGUUAUGCCUACAUACAUUCAAAUUUUGACAAACUUGAGACAUCUUUUAUUGGAGGAAGGGAGUAUGAA